CUCAUGCGUUAAGGAUGGCAAUGGCAUCCUUUUUUUACGUCUAAACGUAAAAAGAGAUAUAAUGGACAGCCUGACUUUUU
rnacentral:sRNA from 1 species